CUUUAUUAAUUUUUUAUAUAUAAUUUAUAUUAAAUAUAAAAAUAUAUUUUUUAAAUAAAAAGACGAUAAGACCCUAUUAAAUUUUACUUAUAGUUUAACUGGGGAAGUUUUAAAAAUAAAAUUUUUUAUAAAAAUAAAAAUAAAUCUAAUAAAAUUAAAAUUAAAUUAAAUUACUAUAGGGAUAACAGCAUUAUAUUUUUUAAAAGUUCAUAUUAAAAAAAAUGAUUGUGACCUCGAUGUUGAAUUAUAUUUUCUUUAUUAAUGCAAUAAUUAUAAAAGUAGAUCUGUUCGAUCUUUAAAAUAUUACAUGAUUUGAGUUCAAACCGGUGUAAACCAGGUUGGUUUCUAUCUUUUUAUAAAUUCAUAUAUAUAUGUAUAUAUAUAUAUAUAUAAAUUUUUCAAGUACGAAAGGAAAAAAAAAUUUUUAUUUUAAUUAAUUAGCAAUUAAUAUGCAUUAGAUUUAGAAUCUAAAUAAACUAUU
rnacentral:misc_RNA from 1 species